GUUUGAUUAGCUCAGUCAGGUAGAGCAAUCGACUCUUAAUCGAUAUGUCACAGGUUCAACUCCUGUAUCAAUCA
rnacentral:tRNA from 1 species